rnacentral:rRNA from 1 species
AACGCGAAGAACCUUACCUGGGCUCGAAAUGCUGUGGACCAGCUUAUGAAAGUAGGCCUUCCCGCAAGGGACCGCAGUAUAGGUGCUGCAUGGCUGUCGUCAGCUCGUGUCGUGAGAUGUUGGGUUAAGUCCCGCAACGAGCGCAACCCUUGUCCUGUGUUGCCAUACCGAAAGGUGGAACUCGCAGGAGACCGCCAGGGAUAACCUGGAGGAAGGUGGGGAUGACGUCAAGUCCUCAUGGCCUUUAUGUCCAGGGCUACACACGUGCUACAAUGGCGACUACAGAGGGCAGCAAACCAGCGAUGGGGAGCCAAUCCCUAAAAGUCGUCUCAGUUCGGAUUGCACUCUGCAACUCGAGUGCAUGAAGUCGGAAUCGCUAGUAAUCGCGGAUCAGCACGCCGCGGUGAAUACGUUCCCGGGCCUUGUACACACCGCUGUA